AAACUAAAACAACUAGAAAGAUGGUGCACUUUCUAAAUAUAUAGCAUUAUGCUAGUAUGCAUAGUUGGAAACGGUUCAGCUCUACACCCCUUUAGUUUUCUUCAGUUUAUCAAAAACUGCCCUGCUGCAGUCAGUUAUUUUUGUUUUAUGCAAAUGUUUUUAAUUAAAAGCCUGAGUUUGGUGGCACCAGUUCAAAUUUCUGUCCCCGUUCUCGUCUGCAAACUCCGGUCCCGAUAUUAGAGCGGCGAUUUGAUGACCUCCCGCGCGGAGAUGUUGAGACGUCCUGUUCUGCUCAGUAAAGUGGUGAGAACUCACAUCCAUAUUCCUCACCGCGGUGAAAGCCAACAUUUUGAUGGCGAGACCAUUGGCACGUAGCGCGCCAGACAGCGCAGCAGCUGAGGCACGGAGGGAUGUGACUGAGCUUGUUGCAACGGUGGCGAAAAGAGCGACAAGUCACAGCUGCAAGUUCUCACAGCUCCAGGUGUGAGAGCCAACCUGCGGUUUGCUGCUUUUGGACGAAUGUGACCCUAAACGAGUCCCCGAAAGACCGAGUUAGAUAAAUGCUGGGAGGAUGACGGCUGAGGCAGAACCAGCGGUAAAAUGGAGGACGAUUGGGAAUCUUAUAAAAGUUAUACGAGGAAAAGGACGCUUUCUAACGACGCUGGGAAACAGAACGGGACAUCGCCCGCUUGGGAAACCCAGCAGGAUCGCAUUGGAAACGACUCACAGAAGAAAAGAGACCUUUAAAUUGUAGGAAAAUAAUUUUAAGCUGACAUUUACGGCCGUUCCCGAACCCCCUUAGAGCAGCGUUUCCCAAACCGUGGUCCGUGUAACGUGCCAGGUACUGCAUGCCGUGAAACGAGCACAAAGCACGACAGGUAAAGUUAGCUUACCAAAAGACUGCGUUUGGAAAUAAUAGUGGAUACUGGCUUAAAACCGGAUUACUCCAAAGAAAACCGGAAGAGACAGGUGGAAAGUUUCCCAGGGUGAG